CCUACGGGAGGCUGCAGUGGGGAAUAUUGGACAAUGGGGGGAACCCUGAUCCAGCCAUGCCGCGUGUGUGAAGAAGGCCCUCGGGUUGUAAAGCACUUUCAGUGAGGAAGAACGCCUGGUGGUUAAUACCCAUCAGGAAAGACAUCACUCACAGAAGAAGCACCGGCUAACUCCGUGCCAGCAGCCGCGGUAAUACGGAGGGUGCGAGCGUUAAUCGGAAUUACUGGGCGUAAAGCGCGCGUAGGUGGCUUGAUAAGCCGGUUGUGAAAGCCCCGGGCUCAACCUGGGAACGGCAUCCGGAACUGUCAAGCUAGAGUGCAGGAGAGGAAGGUAGAAUUCCCGGUGUAGCGGUGAAAUGCGUAGAGAUCGGGAGGAAUACCAGUGGCGAAGGCGGCCUUCUGGACUGACACUGACACUGAGGUGCGAAAGCGUGGGUAGCAAACAGGAUUAGAUACCCCGUGUAGUC
rnacentral:rRNA from 1 species